GACCCUAAUAGAUGCGUAUUUUGGAAUUAUUCCUGAUUAUGGUUCUGUAAAAAACAUGAUCCACUUGGCCCAGGUUUUUAAAUCAAGAGAACUGAAAUAUUUUGACUAUGGCAGUAAGAACAAAGCUAUAUACAAUACGACCACUCCUCCAUUCUAUUAAAUCGAAGACAUGGUUGUGCCAACUGCUGUGUGGUAUGGUGGACAUGAUAUUGUAAUAAACAGAAAGGACAUCCAGCUGUUGCUUCCUCGAAUCUCUAAUUUAGUUUUCCAUAAGAAUAUUCCUGAAUGGCAGCAUGGCGAUUUUUUAUGGGGUCUGGAUCCUCCAAAGAAACUAUACCCUGAUAUAUUCUAUC